GCUGGUUCUUCCAGGAGCGCGCAUGAGCGGACGCUGCCUACUGGUGGCCGGGCGGGAUGUAACCGGCUGCUGAGCUGGCAGUUCUGUGUCGCUAGGCUUCUGCCCGGCCGCCGCCGCACAUAAGCCACGAGGAGGAGCUUUACGACUUCCCGGUCUUCGGCGCCGGGCGCAGCAAGGGCCAGACUCUGCGCUAGCAGGCGCUGCGCGCCAACCGGCCGGCACCUGUCGCAGAAGGUGCAACCGAUCGCACUGUCGCGCAGAAGCUCCUCAAUGGCCAGCGCCAGCUGCAGCCCCGGCCGCCCACUCGCCUCAUCUGAGCCUGGGCAAAUCUGGAUUGGGAAAGUUGACAUUAAUCAACUCAUUAUUCCUCACAGAUUUGUAUUCUCCAGAGUAUCCAGGUCCUUCUCAGAGAAUUAAAAAGCCUGUACAGGUCUAGAUAUUGGUAUUUUUAAUUGAUGAUAAGCUGGAAUAAUAUUAAUACACACAAAGCACGUGUUGUAACUUUCAUUAUGCUUCCUUAGAGCGCUGCUCUAAGCUGUUGAUGAAAAAUAUUGUUGGUGAGCUCUGCUUAGGUAAUAUAUAGGACAUGAGCAGAGAGGAGGCACGUGAACAGUUCUGGCCUGGAGUAGGCUUCAUUGAGGCUGUGAUGCUUUUAGCUGGAUUUGAAGAAGUGGUAGUGAUCAUCCCAGUGCACAGGAUAGGUGGACAGUCUAUGUAUUCUGAGCAGUAACUCAUAUAUCUCAUACUGCAAGACCCCAAAGGAGUAAUUUUGUGAACUCUGUUCACGGAAAGGGCCUGGGAGCUGCAACACCUCAACAGCAACAAGCACACCUGCUACCUAGAACUUGGUUUCUAAAAACCAUCCUCCUCUAAAAGGAAACAGAGCUCUUUGAAGAAACGGUGAGACAGUCAACAAACCUCUAACCACCGACCUUUUCUCCUCUGCCCUCCACUCACACUCUGCUCCAUCACCCUCAGCCACACAGCUGACGCUGUAGAGAUUCACUGACAUCCAGUCUGAUGGACACUGUUUCUCCAGCCGAAACUGCUCAUGAGAACAUGUGCAGUGAAGUGCUCCAGAGGCCCCAGCAUGCUACAUUACAGAAGACUGAACUCAGGAGAGAUGAGGAAUAAUCCCCUCCAUCACACCAGACACCAGGAGGGUGUGCCAAGAGGUAACUUUGCUGAACUUGUGAAGAAUGGUGUGCAAGGUCCAGAGCGACUGCAGGAGAGGGAAGGUGGGAUUCCCACAGAGCAGGAGCACAGAUAAGCCAAGCAAGGCCCUGCUUGGAAGGCAGCAAUCAACAGAGAUGCACAGACCUGUGAGGGUGCCGGGACAGCCAUGCAACAAUGCAGCCCUUUUGCUUCCUGAGCUCACCAGUUCCCUCGCUCCACCUCUGAGAGGUGGUUUGGAGAAACACAGCCCUUCUCAAGAGGGCUGCAAGCUACUUAAGUCCUGAAAAUUUCCACAAGGCUGAGUCAAAUCUGCGUUUCAUCAUCUAUAAGAAAGGUACCUAUCGAGAACACCCUGCUGGCCAGUGUGUAAAUAUCUAAAGGAGGACUCAGAAAACACCGGGGAAGUCCAGCCUGCACGUGGUGGCUGGGCUUCAGUGAAGCAUGCAGCACAACAGGAGUUAGCAGACCACAAAGAGCAUGUCUGGACCUAGAACCACAGCAUGUAACCUCGGAAGCAGUGAGACACCAGCCAGCAUGGACAAGCAGCAGGCACUUGCUCUAUACCAGAUAUGCUGCAUGAUAGAACGCUAUGCCCUCUCACAGAUAGGUCCCACCUCCAGCCUUCCCCUGCUGCCAUCUAACAUCCUAAACUCCAGCUCUGAAUGUCUGUCUCCUGCUCUGAAUCUUCAGUGACUUCGAAACUCAAGUCAGGACACCUCUCAGUUUGGCCUCACUGCUCAAGAUUGAGCUGAAUUCAUGACCAUAAUUCAAGCAUUCAGAUUCAUGGGCUGUUUUGUGGGUUUUGCUAUCUCUUAUUUUGUUUUUGCACAUCUUACCCACUGAAACGUUGGGCUGCAAAAAGUUUGAUCACUAAAUAUGUAGGCAAUGCUGGAUACUGGGCUGUUAUUUACAUAUUUGUAUCACCUUUUAUUUCAUAAGAUAGCAUUGUCAGAGUAAUUUAGUAUUUCAACAUAAUCAACAAGUAAAAUAAAAUUAAUGAGAAUGA
rnacentral:lncRNA from 1 species